rnacentral:rRNA from 1 species
GACGAACGCUGGCGGCGUGCUUAACACAUGCAAGUCGAACGGAAAGGCCCUGCUUGCCGGGUGCUCGAGUGGCGAACGGGUGAGUAACACGUGGGUGAUCUGCCCUGCACUUCGGGAUAAGCCUGGGAAACUGGGUCUAAUACCGGAUAGGAGCCAUUUUGAGUGUGAGGGUUGGAAAGUUUUUUCGGUGUAGGAUGAGCUCGCGGCCUAUCAGCUUGUUGGUGGGGUAAUGGCCUACCAAGGCGGCGACGGGUAGCCGGCCUGAGAGGGUGGACGGCCACACUGGGACUGAGAUACGGCCCAGACUCCUACGGGAGGCAGCAGUGGGGAAGAUUGCACAAUGGGCGCAAGCCUGAUGCAGCGACGCCGCGUGGGGGAUGACGGCCUUCGGGUUGUAAACUCCCUUCGCUAGGGACGAAGCUUUUUGUGACGGUACCUAGAUAAGAAGCACCGGCUAACUACGUG